GGGCGGUUGGUUUGGUGGUAUAAUGACCGCUUAGCGAACGGUCAAUGCUGGCUGGGUUCGAUUCCCAGAUUGUCCA